AUGGAGGAAGCAGGGGUCAAAGGUGAUGCUUGGGACAGUGGUUCUGUGCCCUCCUGCUGGCCUUUGGGCUUUGGGUCUGAGCUGAGUGGGGUCUGUGGGGUUUGCUUACUAGAUUGUGGGGCUACCCCACUGAUGUCUGUACCUGAUGGCCAGGGGUCCUUCCUUCCUCUCUCUGCUCCCUCAAGGCCUGGGGACCCUUCUUGUUGACUCAAUGUCCACUUAGUCCCAAGGAUUCAGGGACAUCUGUGAGUAUCUGCUGCUGCCCCAUCUGGCCCAAGCGAGACCUCUUCUCCCCUCCAUGUUGGGCCCCACUGCAGCCCCCUGAUGUUCACCCCCAGGACGCUCCUCAGGGGAACUGGGGUGGGGUCAUGAUCACAGGGUGGGCCUUCCCUCUCUGCCUGGCCUCGCUGCACCACCAGGUGGGUUAAACGUGGCUCCUCCUCCAGGUGGGCUUGGGGACCGUGGAGCAAGAGGGACAUCCCCUCCACACAGCAGUGUCCCCGGACCCAUCGCCCUGAGUCCCAACCCCUGCAUUGCGCAGGUUGGAGGAUCCAGAAGAAAAGGUGAGUUGCUGCCUCUGCUCUUCUCUCCUCUCCCUGGACCCCUCCUCUUUCCACCAAUCCCCACACAAGAACAGUUGGGUGCUUUUGUGUAAUUUCCCCUAAACCAUGGCUGCCCUGCUUUUCACUGCGGCCUCACUGACUGGAAUUUCUGCACUUCCUUACACCGGAACAGGUACUGGGGUCUGCUCAGCCCUCCUGUGCUCUGCAGCGGGUAGAAGAAUUCACACAUCCUCUCUCUGCUAAGGUCAGGCUGGCCAACCUUUGCUGAAGGCCUCAUUUACCCCCCUGUUCACCUCAGGGUCCAAGCCAAACAAACAAGACGUGAUGGGAGAAAACACUGCACUAAGAGUUGAAAAACAACCAGAGAGAAGAAAGACAGAGAUACAUAGAUGCAGAGACACGCACACCAGAGAGAGAGAGAGAAAGAGAGAGAGAGAGAGAGAGAGAGCAAGGAGAAUGUGUCCCACGUGAAGAACAGAGAAAAUCAGUCAUCAUGUAACAAGAAAGCAAAAAUAAAGAGCACAGGUCUAGGAAACAGAUCCUGGAAGGAAAUUAAACUUGAGUACAAAUAGAAAAUUAAAACUCAGUACAAAUUAAAAUUUGAGAGUAUGGCAGGGCAGAAACCUCCCAGCGCGGUGAGCUACAGCCUGUCCUGGGGUUCAGGAACCCCAUACGCUGGGCAGCCCCCGCCCCUGAGACCUGGCUGACCUUGGAGAGAUUGCUCCAGUCUCAGUCCAUAGUUUCUCCAAGAAAAAGGGGGAAAAUAAGGCUUGCUGAGGACAUUGUAUACAAGGACUUAAUGUGUCAAUAUUUGUAUGGAACUAAAUUAGCAAUUGCCCCAUAGAAAAAGCUGGCUGAGCUUUUGUUGAAGUUCUAAAAAUUAUAUCUAUCGGCCAGGCACGGUGGUUCACGCCUGUAAUCCCAGCACUUCGGGAGGCCAAUGCGGGCGGAUCACCUGAGGUCAGGAGUUCCAGACCAGCCUGGCCAAGAUGAUGAAACCCCGUCUCUACUAAAAAUACAAAAAUUAGCUGGGUGUGGUGGCGGGCGCCUGUAGUCCCAGCUACUCGGCAGGCUGAGGCAGGAGAAUUGCUUGAACCCUGGAGGCGGAGGUUGCAGUGAGCUGAGAUCGCACCACUGCCCUCCAGCCUGGGCGACAGAGCAAGACUCCAUCUCAAAAAAAAAAAAUUAUAUAUAUGUAUUAUGUAUUAUAUGUAAAUAUAUAAUAUAAUUAUUUAUUUAUAUUUGUUUAUUAAAUAUACAUUUACUUUAUAUAUAACGUGUAUUUUAUGUAUGUAUUAUAUAUGUAUAAUUUUUUAACUAUCCUUCUUGUAAAGACCUACAAGUGCCUUUUCUGUUUUUGUUUUGGUUCCGGUUUUCCGGGAUUUUUGGAUAUUCCUCCUUCUCUUUGAUAGAUCAUAACAGUCUGUUUUAGAGGGUAGAAUGUGAUGUUCUGAUAUUUUCUUACCUGUGCAGUCCUUUCCAGGCAGGACCGCACCAGGAGCCGUGCCCGUUUGAGUCUCCACUUCAGGCUUGGCACUGUUUUAUUUUGUUUUCUUUUGUUUUGUUACAUUUUGUUUUGUUUUUAAAGAUAAACACAAAUUAACUCAGAGAUUCUCUCACCCUCUGGUGACUCACAGGGUAAUUUCCUGUUUUAAUCUGAGUUGAGAGACCACAUGAGACCACACAAGUGGGGCGGAGACAUGGAUAUGCCUCAUCCAGCAGUGGACUCAGGGCUCUCUUGGGACACGUGAGUGUGUGGGUAUGCUGUGUGCACGUGUGAGUGUAUACAUGCUUGUGUGUGUGUGUGAAGCUUUGGGUAGGUGAGGUCAGCUAUCUGUCUGCUCUCACCCACACGUCCCUCAGACACCUCCCUCAUUCAUCCCUGAAACACAGGCUCCAUCUGAAAACACUGACAGCAACUCUGAGUCCUGUGAUGAGCAAGUUCAGGAGGUCUUGCAUACGGCAUGGGUGGUGACAACUGUGCUCAUUAAUUUGAUUAUGGCGAUCAUUGUGCAAUGUAUACGUAUAUCAAAUUAUCCCAUGGUACACCCGGAAUAUAUGCAAUCUUGGUCCACUCAAUUUUAAAAUGAAAACGCUGACACCUCCUUUGUAAGUCCUGUUUCCCUCACUCAGCUUUGAACAACUGUGAAAGCAGAGACUCGGCCCAAGUGACCUGUGCACCCGGGACCAGGCACCGGGCUGCCAGGUGUGAUGUCUUCAGAAUUAUUUACUGAUGCACAGAGUAAAGUAUGACCCAGAGAACCGGGCUUAGCUCUCCGCUGUAAAUGUAUAGCACUGUCUCAAGGUUAGCUCUUCACUUCUAGGAAGGUCUUUGGGGUCAGAAGAGCAGAUCAUUCCAACAAAGUCUCUGGGGUCAUUGGAGAUUCACAGGAGACACCUAGGACCAGCUGGGGGACUGCAUCACUGCUCAUCAGAUCUGCUGGGUGUUUGUAGCUGGGUCUCUGGAGACAACCUGUGGCUGGGUUUCUGAAAAUAGCCAGGUGACUAUAGUUGGGUCUCUGAAAACAGUCAGGUGAAUAAAGCUGGGUCUCUAGAAACAGCCAGACAACUGCAGCUGGGUCUCUAGAAACAGUCACAACUGUAGCUGUGUCUCUAGAAACAGCCAGACAACUAAAACGGAGUCUCUAGAAACAGCCAGACAACUGUAGCUGGAGCUCUAGAGACAGCCAGACAAUUGUAGAUGGGUCUCUGGAAACAGCCAGCUGAUUAGAGCUUCGUUUCUAGAAGUAGUCAGGUGUAUGUAUCUGAGUCUCUGGAAUCAAUGGCAACACAGUCUAUCCAAGGAGCUGGUCAAUUGUAGAAGGAACCACCUGGUUAAGGAAACUUCUGGAAGCUGGUUUGAAAACUCGUCUCCAGCUCAUGUCUCCUGGACAGCUGCCUGACUCGCUUUCCAGAUGAUGAUGAGUCCAAGAGGAAGCCUUCCAAAUGGCCGCUUCAGGCUUUUCCUAGAGUGACUUUAUAUCCUCAGGUGUA
rnacentral:lncRNA from 1 species